GCAAACUUGGUCAUUUAGAGGAAGUAAAAGUCGUAACAAGGUUUCCGUAGGUGAACCUGCGGAAGGAUCAUUACCGAGUUUAUCGGUCUAUGGUAUCGAAAUGACUCUGAAUAAGGUUUGGCGGUAACACGCCGAACCUAUACGUGGAUUAAUUCUCCUGAUACUUUUGGCCUGGGUGGUAGGCCGAAGAAUCAGACGUUUUCAAUCUGUUGUGACUAUGAUUUAAAUUGUGUCUUUACUGACACGUUAAAACAAUUAAAUAUACAACUGCAAACGGUGGAUCACUCGGUUCGCAGGUCGAUGAAGAACGCAGC
rnacentral:misc_RNA from 1 species